rnacentral:lncRNA from 1 species
UUUUUUUUCUUUUUUGCCUACUCCUGAACUCUAUAUAUGCUCUGCUACUGUAGCUUUUCCUAAAAACACAGGCAGUAAAUAGUUCCUAAACAGGUUUAAAAAAAAAAAAAAAAAAAAAGACUCAUACUUUGAGGCAGUCUAGAGGCAAUCUAAUCCACUUAAUUAAAUCCAGUUCCUUCCAAUUUAAUUCACUAUAUAUUUGAGAUAUUGACCAAUUUGCAUGCCUCCUUAGAGGAGAUGCAUUAUCACUACAGUGGACAUGCCUUCCCUGUAUUUAAGAUUUCUGUGGCUUUCCAGAAUUUGAUAACAAUUGCUUUUGUCCUACAUGGCUAGACUAUACGCAUGCUUUCUAUGGCAGCACUGGAUUCUGGCCCAGCUGCCUUGGUAAGGUCUGUCCAAGACCCUUCUCCACCACAUCUCAAGACAUAAUUAGGUAUAUUACUCCCUGGAACCUCAAGCAUUUUGUACAGAUUUCUACUGUUGCACUUAGCAGCACCAUUCUCUCAUUAAUCUGCGUAGUAGCCUCUAGAAGUUAUUAUCCCCAUCACAAGGACUCGGGGCCCAGAGAUUCUCUAUCUUGCUAAUGUGACACAACAAGAAAGUCAUGUAGCCUAGUUCCUUGCAUGAUAUUGCCAUGCUUCCUUAACAUACAUUGUGGAUCUUCCCAUCACUGGAAUGAAGUUUCUUUAGCGUUAACUAUUAUAUUACUUCUCGUCACGCAGCACAAUGUAGCAUCCAGCAUUCAGAAUGUGCUCAGACAGCGUAAUUGGUGGUCAUGGAGACAUGUGCUUCGCCAGCUGUGAUCACAACCCUGACUCUCCAGGCCUGCCAUAAUUGCCAGAGUUCCUACAUUAACUGUACAAAGGGUCUUUAGUUUGAUUAUCAAAUAAAUUGUUCUCAUUUAACAAGGACUUAAAGAAAUAUAGGUGAUACUAGUGGGAGAAAUAAAGAGACAUCUAGAAUCUGGGAAAGAUAACAGAUUGCACCCGUUUUGACAAAGUGCUAGCUGCAGAAGGGUAAAUGUGACAGAACUCACAUAAUGGUGCUGAGAAAUGAUGACAGUGGAGACAGAAUUAAAGAAGCCAAUAGGAAAACUAUUAUAAGUUUGGAAGAUUUUAGAUAGCCUUUCCAACUCUCUUUCUUGAAAAGUAACUCUAGAAUCAUGGGGGUCUAUCGCAGCAAGUUUUUCAAGUGUGAUCACCUCUGAUGAAAACCUGCAAAAGGCCCUUUGUAAUUCUCAGGACUUUGUAGGCAUAAUCUCUAUAGCUAAAAUGCAGCCUCCUCUGCUCCCACCAGACAGAUUCUAUUGUGGUAGAUUAGGGGUGGCCCUUAAUCAUCUCCACUGCUAAAAGGCAUUUGGGGUGAUUCCAGAUAGCAGGCCUUUAUACCACAGUUUGAGAAACCCUGGAUUAUAGCCUGUAUCUAAGACAUUAGAACAAGAUAAAGAAUCCAAUUAUAAUUGAGUUUAUCCCCACCAAAUAAUUUAAUCCCUUCCAAACAGAGAUUUCCCCACCACAUUUCUUAGAAUCUGCAAAAGUAAAUUCCUUUAUAUACUACAUAAGAGAAGUCAAAAUCCCAGGUGCGUGUAUGUUAUAUUUAUAUCCUAAGAAAGAAAAGCAUUUACAGUUUCUUCCCCAUUAUAGCUUACAGAAUACAAAUCAUCAAUCCACAUAGGGAUAUCAUUUGCAUAUAUUUUCACCAUCUUAAUUUCAAUGAAAAGUGCUUUAAGAAAAGAUAUGUGGAUCAAAAAAAAACCCCACAGAUUAGUGGUGUGCCUAAAUAGACAAUAUUUACAAGAAAAAAAUACUUUAUAGAUAAAAUAUAUUUUAAAGAAGAGAAUAUAAUUGAAAGUUUAUUACCCCAAAAUGAUUACAUUGUAUAUAGUAAAGUUAUGACCCAAGAUAAUUAAUAAAAUUGACCCAGCUUUGUUUGCAUUAAGCCCAAUGAUUUAAAGGUAAAAUGAAUAGCAGGCUGGCAGCUGUGUAGAAAGCCUUGUCUGCUUCAUGCCUAAGAAGACCUAGUAUAAAUAUGUCAAAACCUACCCAAAGAAAGUAUAGGUAUUACUCACUCUAUUGUAGAAAGUUUUUCCUUCCCUGAAAAAAAAUGAGGAGUAGAAGACAAAAAAGGAGAAUAGCUUUCCAUCAGAUCAAAAUAUUUUCCUUUGGGAUUUCAGAUUUGUCCAUGAGCAAGAGAUCACCCUGUUGGAUGCUGUUUAAAAAGAGGAAUCCCAUAUUAAAUGGCAAAGUGCAGUGACACAAAGACAUGAUUGCUUUCUGAUCUUUUGUACAGAUUAAGAAUAUAAUUGUGCAUUCUGCUGCCAAAUUACCAUCUGUUUUAUUCUCUCAAUUACAUUCUUUUCAUAGCAUCUCAUUUUGACAGGUGGGGCAAAAUAACAUCCAUGUUUAGAGAACACUUUUAACUCUAUUGGAAUACAUGGCACCCAUGUGCAUAAUAUAUUACACACAUUGGGAUCUCAACAUGGAUGGAAGUCCAUCAAAUAUUUGUACCAUUGUAUUCCAAAUUCCCAUGCCUUACAUACAUUUCCUUAUUAUCAUAUUGCUACCUAAAUAUAUCCUUGUGUAUUUUGAGAGAUUUUUUUGUUGUUGCCUAUGUUUUUACUGAAUGGAUAAGACACAUUUUUAUCAGAACUCUCUUCUUUUGAGCUAAGAAGUCAUAAAGUGUAUCGGAUGGAUCCAUGGAUGGAAAGAUGAACAAACAGAUGCAUAAAUGGAUGAUAAAGGGAUAAGUGACUCUACAGAUAAAAUUUUCUAGAUACAGAAAGCAAGUUAAACUAAGAUUUUGAUGAGAAUAAAUAGGUAUAUAAAAGAAGAUUCUUUGUAUUUCAUUCGACAAAUAGACUGUUCUUCCUCCAUCUCAAAGUGUACAACACAUUACACACACCCCUGCACACUCAUUUGUAUUUAUUGUGUUUAUAAGCCUAUUCUCCAUAUAACUAUUCUUUCUGAAGACUAGGAAUAUUAUCAAAUAAGAUAACUAUAUAAUUUUCCUCAAAUCUAUCAGAGAGACAAUGGAAACUUUUUCUAAAUCUCUACUAAGAAAUACUGCACAUACCAUAAAAUUCACCCAUUUAAUGUAUUCACUUCAACAUUUUUAGUGUAUUCAUAGGGUUGUGCAAACAUUAUCACAAACUAAUUUUAGGACUUUUUCAGUACCCCAAGAAGAAACCCAUACAUACUCGCAGGCAUUCCUCUUUCCUGCUUUCCUCUCAUCCUCCCACCAGACCCAACUUUAUCAAUUAUUAAUCUACUUGCUUUCUCUAAGUAUUUGACUAUUCUGGAUAUUAAAAUAAAUAAAAUUAGACAAUAUAUGCUCUUAUGUGGAUUGCCUUCUUUCCAUCAGCAUGUUCCAUCGAUGUUGUAGCAUGUAAUUCAUUCUUCUAUAUCACUAAAUAUUAUUUCAUUGUAUAGACAUACCACAAACGGAUUAUUUUAUCCAUUUGUCAUUUGAUGAACUUUUAUUUUACCUAUUUUUUUCUUUUGUUGUUUUUGCUUCCAGUGUCAUAUGUAAAAAACACAUUCUCUAAUACAUAGUAACAGAGAUUUACAUGUGUAUUUCUUUCUAGCUUUAGUGUUUUAGCUCUUACAUUUAGGUCUACAGUCCAUUCUGAGUUGGUUUUUGACUAUGUUAAAAGGUGGGGUCCCAAACUCAUGCUUUGCAAGUUGAUAUCCUAUUGUGCCAGGCUUAUCUGUUAAAAAGACUAUUCUCUCCUUAUUGAGUGAUCUUGGCACUGUUGUCAUAAAUCAACUGAGUAUAAAUGUGAAUGUUUAGCUCUGGACUCUUCAAUUACAUUCCAGAAAUCCAGAUGUCUAUCCUUUUGCCAAUACUUCAAUGUCUUUAUUACUGUAGCUUUCCAGUAGGUUUUGAAAUCAGGAAGAAUGAAUCCUCCAACAAUAUUCUUUCUUAAAAUUAUUUUGAGUAUUCUGAGUCAUUGCCAUUUCAUAAAAAAAUUUUGAGCAACUUACCAUAUAAAAACCCUGCUAACAUUUAUAUUAAGAUUAGCAUGAAUCUGGAGAUUAAUAUAAGGAAUAUUGUCAUCUUAACAAAGUCUUAUGAUUGAUGAAAAUGCGUGGUCUGUCCACUUAUUUAGAAUUACCUUAAUCUCCUUCAUAGAGCUGUGUUA